UUAACAAAAAAGGGAAAAAGAAAAAAACGUCGAACACCGUUUUCUCCACCAGAGCUAGGAAAGCUUGUCGUCUCGUCACCUCCAUCUCCGACGGUCUCUUUUCCGUCCACAACCAGUGACAUCUGGAUUCAAUUGCAAGCUACUCUAAUAUGCGUGGGAAGAACUCUCUUUGUAUGGUUCUGGAUCUGACAAGAGAGCUUGUGCAUCAGGCUGAGAAGAAAUUCAGGGAAUUUGCUCCAAGCUUGGAUACUAUAUGUCUUUAUGGAGGUACACCGAUCUGACAGCAAGUGCGGGAGCUCAACUAUGGUGUUGAUGUUGCGGUUGGUACUCCAGGUCGUAUCGUUGAUCUGAUCAAAAGGGGAGCUUUGAAUCUAUCAAAGCUUCAGUUUGUGGUUCUUGAUGAAGCUGAUCAGAUGCUUCAGGUUGGAUUUGUGUAGGAUAUGGAAGUUAUAUUGGGGGAUUUGGUUGAAUGUUCACCGUCAAGUGGAGAGAGCAGCUUUGUUGGUUUUGGAUAACAGAUCUUACUGAGAAGUGUUGGGUGAGUUAUGAUCUGAGCCUGAAAUAAUGGAGGGCUUGGUGACUAGAGAUUUUUAGUAGAGUUUAGUUAUAUGCUAUAUAUAAAUCUGUAGCUCCGUCCCUCAUAAAAAAACAUGUUUUAUUUUGAAGUUGUUGUCAUCACUAAUUUAUUUUCUACACUGGUAGAAAAAUAUAAUUGUUCCUUUCUAUUUGUAUUUGGCCACUUCCAUAAACUUAGAACGAUUCUUUCAUCCACCAGAA